AAAUAAUUUUUUACUAUUUUAUUAUUUUUAUUCUAUAAUCUCGCAAAUUAUAGAACUAUUAGUUAUCAUUGAUAUAUCAAUAAUAUUUAAAGAUUUUGAGAUAACCGAGGAACGUCUUUGUUUAAAAAAGGUUUUAUUUUUUAAUUUUAAUUUUUGUUGAUUUAAACUUGAGUGAAAUUCGCUCAGAGGUGUUUUUCCUUAGCAAUGAUUUAUCAUUUCAUGCAGAUAUAAAUUAAAUAAUUUUACAUAUCUUACUUUUCCAACUAAUCGUGAUGCAAAAGGGGCACAUUCAUACCUACUAUAAGCUCUUUUUAAUUUUACUCAUAUGUUACGUGUGUUUUUUCGUUUGUCGAAUUUGUUAUAAUCAUAAAAUCAAAUAAGGAACAACCAAGGAUUUUUCAAACUACCAUGUAUAGAUAUAAAAGGUAUAAUUUGGGCUUCUCUUACAUAUGCGUUCACAUAGCAACUACUAGCUAAAGAGAAUUUAGAAAAGUUUUCAAAUCUUUUAAUCACAUGAAAGACGUUUGAAAAAACUACAAAAUUAAUAAUCAUAAUAAUUAGUUUUUUCGCUCGGAUAGCUCACUAUUUCACACUCACCACAUUUCAACGACUCGCAUUGUUUUUUUAGAUUCCGAGUGUAGCACAGGAAAUAUUGAUUUUACUAAGAUGUUUAUAUCUUAUUUUUUCUUUUUAUCUUUGGUUUAGUCUUUUGACACGUUGUUUCAUAGUGGUCUGGCUCCGAUAUUUACGUGUAGCAACUUUUACGAAAGCUUAUAUUAUCUCAAUUGUAUUUUAAAGAAGUCAUUUUUAAUUUCUACGUUUUUUUAAAAAUAAAAGAACUUAGGUAGAAAAAAGGGUAGGAAAACGUACGAUUUCACGAUUUCAUUAAUUUAGAAAACACGGACGACGUUUUCUAUCAGAAAAAAUAAUAUACUCGAUAAACCACAAGAAAAAUCGCCUUUUUUUGUUGCUUUUUUGAUUUACUUUUUCACAGUAUCAUUCCUAAAACUCUUGAGCUACUUUAACGCCUGAAACGAAAAAUGAGCUUUUUUUUUGCGAAGUAUGAAAAAAUAAUGCAUUUCGUAUUCAACUUCGGACUCCACACGUUAAAAAUAUUAUGUGAUGUUAUCGAUUUUCAUAAAAAAGGCGAUACGAAUAAAUAAUUACAACUCGACUAUAUAGCAGGUGCAGAAGGCCCCAAUACCGCUAAAACAAUAUACUGCAAUCAUAAAUUAUGGACUUUAUUGCGUUAGAUCUUCGGAAAUAAAUUAAAUUUUUUGAAAAUUGUUUCGGUUCCUAUUGCACAAAGCCGCGUAAUAUAUAUAUUUAUUAUAUGUACAGUUGUCGUAGCACAGGUAUAUAUUGUAUAAAUUAAUUUCAACUUUUCAAACGCGGAGCGAAAUUUCUAACUAUAACUCGAUUAACAAAAGUAUUAUGCGUGGUCUCACGAUAUUUCGUUUGGCGUGAACGGUAUUAUUAAUUUUUUAUGCGGUCCGUAUAAAUCGAUCGAAUUGAACAUCACGCGGGGUGAGUGUUAAGUUAGUUUUCGGUAUCGGUUUUGAUAUUUUACAGUAUUUUGAUGGUUGGAUAAUAACGAAAACAAAUAUUGUUAAUUUGUAUGGUUAUUGAGGAAAUUAAACAAAAUUGUUUUCGAUUAGUAAUCAUGUGUACAAAAUAAUCAAUAUUAUAAAAACUAAAAAGUUACUAUAACUCUUAUAAUGUAAAGAGUAUAGUUCAUAAAAAACUUAUAAAAAAAAUAUAUUAUAUAAUAAUAAAAUAUAUAUAGUGCGGUAAACGGGUUUUAUUUAUAAGUAAAUUUACGUGCCACUUAUUAAUAUAUUGUGUACUUAAAACAAACAGAGAAAACUAAUUUAAAAUGACGGCAUCUUAAAAGAGGUCACGUACUCAGUUAUUAAUUGUUUGUAAAAAUUUAAAGCAGGAUUAUUCAAAUUUUACGUUCUACAAAAUGAAACCAUUUCUAUCAAAAUGUUGAUUUAAAAAUGAAGAAUAUCACGUCUUUACGGGGUACAUAACGAAGAUGUAUCCAUUGUUAUAUUUCCGGAGAUAAUAAAUAUAGUCAAAUUUUGUAAUUUUUUUUUUGUUUUUUUUAUAUAUAUAAACACAGUGAUAAGGAGUAUUAAUAUUUUUAUGUAUCUG